AGCCUUGCCCAGUGGCAGUAUUGUAGUCAAUGAGGUUUAUCCAAGGCGCAAUUAUUGCUAAUUGAAGACUUUUCCCAAUACCCUGCCCUGAUGACUGGAAAUAUAGUCAGCAUUGGCAAUUUUUGGCAGUCUCUAUGGGGA